GACGAACGCUGGCGGCGUGCUUAACACAUGCCAGUCGAACGAUGAAGCGGUGCUUGCACCGUGGAUUAGUGGCGAACGGGUGAGUAAUACGUGAGUGACCUACCUUUGACUCUGGGAUAAGCCUGGGAAACUGGGUCUAAUACCGGAUACGACCAAUCUCUGCAUGGGGUGUUGGUGGAAAGCGUUAUGGAGUGGUUUUAGAUGGGCUCACGGCCUAUCAGCUUGUUGGUGAGGUAAUGGCUUACCAAGGCGACGACGGGUAGCCGGCCUGAGAGGGUGACCGGCCACACUGGGAGUGGGACACGGCCCAGACUCCUACGGGGGGGAGCGGGGGGGAAUUUUGCCAAAGGGGCGCAAGCCUGAUGCAGGGACGCCGGGUGGGGGAUGACGGCCUUCGGGUUUAAAACCUCUUUUAGAAUCGAAGAAGCGAAAGUGACGGUAGGUGCAGAAAAAGCGCCGGCUAACUACGU
rnacentral:rRNA from 1 species